rnacentral:lncRNA from 1 species
UCCGUUUUCGAACACCAUGGUAUAUAGGGUGUUUUAAGUCGUCAAUUUUCUUGGUUUUCUUGUUCAUGUCACUGCAUUUAAUUUUCUUGUUAUUAGUUUCUUGUUUUGAUGAUGCUAAGGUUAUUGGUCUUGUUGAGAGAGAUGAAGAAGAGGAAAAGUGGGGGAUUGUGGAAUAGGUUGUUUCAUUGUUAAUGUUGGUGAAAAUAUGAGAUUUCUCUUCCAUAGAUGAUGGGGAGUUUUCUUGAGAGCUGGUGAAAAAUAUAUGAGGGAUUAUAGAGCAACAUAGAUUUAGGUUUGGUGAGCUACUUAUAGUGUUUUGGUUCUUGGGCUUUUUAUCACUUUUUAUCUCUUUCACUAGAGAUGGAAUAAUCC